GUGGAGCCUGGCGACUGCUUUGGGAAGUCCUGCUGGCAGGCACUCUGCCCCUGGGGGUGUGCAAAGAGUUGUCCAGUUACCUUGAUCUUCUCACAGCCUCCUCCCCAGGGCACCAGGAGAGACCAGGAUUGGAGGACGGUAAAGAACACACUUCCCAGAGGAUUCUUGGAGGUGGCUUCCUCCAGGCAGUAAAUCUACAGCCCAGGCUCCCUGCAUCUUAUGGCUCCAAUCACUUUGGAUCUCAUCGUCGCCUGCACAUUGCCAUACACAGGGAAGGAGAAGAGAUGGAGAAGGCAAAGACUUUCUGAAAGCCGUGGCUAAAAGCUGGCAUGUGUCACAUCAGCUCACAUUCCAUUGUAGAGACGGGGUUUCACCGUGUUAGCCAGGAUGGUCUUGAUAUCCUGACCUCGUGAUCCGCCCGCCUUGGCUUCCCAAAGUGCUGGGAUUACAGGCGUGAGCCACCGCUCCCGGCCUGGCAGGCAUUCUUGAGGCAAACGGGAAAUGGGGUAAGUUACACAAUCGAUACAGCUCCGUCAUCGUGGUUUAAUUACUUUUCCACGUACCAUGUUUCCUGACAGGUAGAACGAUCAGCCUGGGCCUCCGUUUUUCAUUCUACAAAGAAUGAAGUGCAUGAACUGUCCUCUAUAGAAUUGUGGAAAAAGUUGUUUUUAUUGAGUUGUGGUUAUCUUUGUCUUCAUGGUCUAAUUACGGAAAUAAAUGCUUUUCCGAGUCUCCGGGGAUGGUCUGCCCUAGUCCAGCUCUCUGCAGUGUCUUUCUGGGUUUUUCCUCAGUGAACGGGAGGAACAUUGGCAGCACUUGUGGUCUGCACCAAGAACUGAAUCGAAUUUCCAUGUGUUAUUGAAUGUUCACAAAGACCUUGUACAGCGAGUGUUACUACCUCUGGUCAAUGAUUCAACUCAAGGCUCAGAAAAGUCAAGUGUCUUGUCCAGGGACACUUAGUCAGAAGUGAAUCCAAGGUUUAAGCUCAAGUCUGCCUAACUCUGAAUUUCACAGCCUUUUGCUACAUAUGGCGAAUAAUAUAUCCCUGAGCACUAAAGGCAGACUCCAAGGAUCUUGUCUCUGCAAUCAUCAUUCUGGCCAUAAUUUAUGAAAAGCAACCCAAAGUAUGUGAUGUAAUAAAAAGUACUAUCUAUGAGUUUACCCUUCCAAAAAUUGAACUGAAUUCUGAGCUCUAAAUUUGGAAUCAAAAGAACUUUUCUCUGCACUAAUCAUUUGGAACAUCACUUAAAGAAAACAACGAAAAACUGGUGUCCCCUGAGAGAAAGCAAUACAAAACAUUAUGCAUAAAGAAAUCCUUCCAAAAAAUAAACCAAAUCCAGUCAAAUCUCUAGUUUUGACUCCUAGCUUACCGGAAAUACGUGAUGGGAAAAAAAUGAAAUGACACCACUAUGAUUCAAUCAGCCAAAUCCAGCAUAUGCAAAUUUCUACCAGAUAAAUGGUUUAGUUUCUUCCCCAAACAAAUGGCACAAGGAAACGGAGAUGGAGUUCCCCUCUGCCACCCAGACUGGAGUACAGUGGCGCGAUCCUGGCCAUCGCAACCUCCGCCUCCCAGAUCCCUCCUACAACACAUGAGAAUUGUGGGUGCUACAAUUCAAGAUGAGAUUUGAGUGGGGACAAAGUCAAACCAUAUCAUUAGAUAGGACACUGGAGAAAGGCAAGAAAGAAAAGACAUCUGAAGAAUGAAGGGAGCCAAAGAAAUGCCAACAUUUUGCUUUUUGAAGAAAAGCUAAAUUAAAGUCAAAAUGGAUUUAUCAAUUUCCUUGGGUUCGUGAAUGUACAGAACUUUAUUAAGACUGUCAUGCUGUCAUCAUGGCUGGAUCUGAUACGGCCACCGUGGACCUUGAGGUGACCUCGGGAAUGGAGACAGUGCAUGGGAGAGAAUCACAUUGGAAGGGGCCUGGGUUUCUGAAGACCCUGUAAGACAGAUCUCCUUGCAGCCCUGACUGCCCACAUUAGGGCUUUUAUGUUAGGGUGAAGUUACCUUGCAUUGUCAUAUAAGCAAUUGCUAUUUGUGGUGUCUUGCAAAUAAACCUAUUCUGAUCUAGUAUGUUUCCUAAAAAACAAAA
rnacentral:lncRNA from 10 species